rnacentral:rRNA from 1 species
UGCCUAAUACAUGCAAGUAGAACGCUGAAGAGAGGAGCUUGCUCUUCUUGGAUGAGCUGCGAACGGGUGAGUAACGCGUAGGUAACCUGCCUUGUAGCGGGGGAUAACUAUUGGAAACGAUAGCUAAUACCGCAUAACAAUGGAUGACACAUGUCAUUUAUUUGAAAGGGGCAAUUGCUCCACUACAAGAUGGACCUGCGUUGUAUUAGCUAGUAGGUGAGGUAACGGCUCACCUAGGCGACGAUACAUAGCCGACCUGAGAGGGUGAUCGGCCACACUGGGACUGAGACACGGCCCAGACUCCUACGGGAGGCAGCAGUAGGGAAUCUUCGGCAAUGGGGGCAACCCUGACCGAGCAACGCCGCGUGAGUGAAGAAGGUUUUCGGAUCGUAAAGCUCUGUUGUAAGUCAAGAACGAGUGUGAGAGUGGAAAGUUCACACUGUGACGGUAGCUUACCAGAAAGGGACGGCUAACUACGUGCCAGCAGCCGCGGUAAUACGUAGGUCCCGAGCGUUGUCCGGGUUUAUUGGGCGUAAAGCGAGCGCAGGCGGUUUGAUAAGUCUGAAGUUAAAGGCUGUGGCUCAACCAUAGUUCGCUUUGGAAACUGUCAAACUUGAGUGCAGAAGGGGAGAGUGGAAUUCCAUGUGUAGCGGUGAAAUGCGUAGAUAUAUGGAGGAACACCGGUGGCGAAAGCGGCUCUCUGGUCUGUAACUGACGCUGAGGCUCGAAAGCGUGGGGAGCGAACAGGAUUAGAUACCCUGGUAGUCCACGCCGUAAACGAUGAGUGCUAGGUGUUGGAUCCUUUCCGGGAUUCAGUGCCGCAGCUAACGCAUUAAGCACUCCGCCUGGGGAGUACGACCGCAAGGUUGAAACUCAAAGGAAUUGACGGGGGCCCGCACAAGCGGUGGAGCAUGUGGUUUAAUUCGAAGCAACGCGAAGAACCUUACCAGGUCUUGACAUCCCGAUGCUAUUUCUAGAGAUAGAAAGUUACUUCGGUACAUCGGUGACAGGUGGUGCAUGGUUGUCGUCAGCUCGUGUCGUGAGAUGUUGGGUUAAGUCCCGCAACGAGCGCAACCCCUAUUGUUAGUUGCCAUCAUUCAGUUGGGCACUCUAGCGAGACUGCCGGUAAUAAACCGGAGGAAGGUGGGGAUGACGUCAAAUCAUCAUGCCCCUUAUGACCUGGGCUACACACGUGCUACAAUGGUUGGUACAACGAGUUGCGAGUCGGUGACGGCAAGCUAAUCUCUUAAAGCCAAUCUCAGUUCGGAUUGUAGGCUGCAACUCGCCUACAUGAAGUCGGAAUCGCUAGUAAUCGCGGAUCAGCACGCCGCGGUGAAUACGUUCCCGGGCCUUGUACACACCGCCCGUCACACCACGAGAGUUUGUAACACCCGAAGUCGGUGAGGUAACCUUUUGGAGCCAGCCGCCUAAGGUGGGAUAGAUGAUUGGGGUGAAGUGG